GAUUUUUUUUAUUUUUUUUAUUUUUUUUAUUUUUUUUAUGAUAUGGGUAAGACAGUCUGAAAACAAUGUGAGUACUUUCAUCAACUAAUGCAGUGUUGUUAAUCAAACACAAGACCCAUAAAGUGAAUUUGGGGUCAUCUUGUCCUUUACUGGUUUCCUGAUUGGGAGGCUCACCCUUGGCUUAUGAUCACAUCCAUUUGGCAGAAAGUCAGCUUAUUUGACAGGGUUGGAAACAAUGCCAUGUGAGCAGAAGAGAAAUUGCUUUCAUCCCUUUUUCUACCUGAUGGUCUUAUAUUAUGAUAUGGUUUGGCUGUGCGCCCACCCAAAUCUCAUCUUGAAUUGUAGUUCCCAUAAUCCCCGUAUGUCAUGGGUGAGACCUCAUGGGAGGUAAAUAAAUUAUGGAAGUGGUUCCCCCAUGCUGUUCUCAUGAUAGUGAGUGAGUUCUCAUGAGAUCUGAAUGGUUUUA
rnacentral:lncRNA from 1 species